rnacentral:rRNA from 1 species
GAUGAACGCUGACAGAAUGCUUAACACAUGCAAGUCGAUCGGGAAGUGGUGCUUGCACCAUGGUAACCAAGGCGGACGGGUGAGUAACGCGUAAGGAACUUACCUGCGGGACUGGGAUAACAGCAGCAAACUGCUGACAAGACCGGAUAUAGUCACUAAGCUGCAUUGCUUAGUGAUGAAAGGACGCGCCUGCGGAGAACCUUGCGGCCUAUUAUCGAGUUGGAGGGGUAACGGCCCACCAAGGCGAAGAUAGGGAGGCGGCCUGAGAGGGUGGACGGCCAAGAGGAGUCAGAGAUACGGCCCAUACUCAUACGAGGAAAAGAAGUGGGGAAUAUUGGACAAGGGGGACAACCCUGAUCCAACAAUUCUGUGUGCAAGGAGACGGUUUUCGGAUUGAAAAGCGCUUUCAGAAGAGGAGAAGGAAGUGACGGUACCUGCAAAAGAAGCAACGGCUAAAUACGUG